rnacentral:rRNA from 1 species
GACGUAGGGCGCGAGCGUUGUCCGGAUUUAUUGGGCGUAAAGAGCUCGUAGGCGGCUUGUCGCGUCAACUGUGAAAACCCGUGGCUCAACCAUGUGGUCUGCAGUCGAUACGGACAGGCUAGAAUUCGGUAGGGGAGACUGGAAUUCCUGGUGUAGCGGUGAAAUGCGCAGAUAUCAGGAGGAACACCGGUGGCGAAGGCGGGUCUCUGGGCCGAUAUUGACGCUGAGGAGCGAAAGCGUGGGGAGCGAACAGG